rnacentral:rRNA from 1 species
GACGAACGCUGGCGGCGUGCUUAACACAUGCAAGUCGAACGGAAAGGCCCUGCUUGCAGGGUACUCGAGUGGCGAACGGGGGAGUAACACGUGGGUGAUCUGCCCUGCACUCCGGGAUAAGCCUGGGAAACUGGGUCUAAUACCGGAGAGGACCGCACUUGAGUGUGUGUGGUGGAAAGUUUUUUCGGUGUAGGAGGAGCUCGCGGCCUAUCAGCUUGUUGGUGGGGUAUUGGCCUACCAAGGCGGCGACGGGUAGCUGGCCUGAGAGGGGGUACGGCCACAUUGGGGCUGUGAUACGGCCCCGACUCCUCCGGGGGGCAGAAGUGGGGAAUAUUGCACAAUGGGCGCAAGCCUGAUGCAGCGACGCCGCGUGGGGGAUGAAGGCCUUCGGGUUGUAAACUCCUCUCGCUAGUGACGAAGCUUUGUUGUGACGGUACCUAGAAAAGAAGCACCGGCUAACUACGUG